rnacentral:lncRNA from 1 species
AAACCCACAUAAGCUGUUUUGAAACAAGGACCAUUGGUUAUAGGGGCUUGUUGCAGGAGUUGGCAUUAGCUUUUUGGUGGAGACAGCUGGUGUCAGAACUGCAUGUCCAAGGAGCUAUACAUUUGCUAGAAGGGGAUGACCAAUUCAGCUCUGAGUUUCCUGGGAGCCAAAGCCAAGAGCUCCAUGUCCACAAGAUCGACGACCAAGUACUCAGAAGAACAGCUUUUCCUGAUACUAGGAGUUAAGAGAAGCUUUCUCCAGGAACCCUCAUAGAGACAACCUUGCAUGAUGCAGUGGACAGCACCCUUAGCAUGCUCCACAAGGGUCAUUCUGCAGUCUCUUUCAGCACUGGAUAACGGCACUCUGUCUCAAAGGUAGACUCUAAGUUGAUAGCAUCCUUAGACUCUGUCCUAAUAUUACCAAGAACACAAUUUAGCAUAUGUACCCCCCUCAAUGGGGACCCUCCUACCAUCCUGCAAGAAAUCCUCUGUGAAACUAGACUUUGGGUGAGAACAGACAACAGGGAGUUGGAGGCUUCAUUCUCUGGCACCAGUUAGCCUGGUGGGGAGAAUUUCCGCAUGCCUGGCGUGCAGUUGAGAUAAUCCACAAAGCUGAAGGCAGGGUCAGCAACCUCCCAUGCAAGUUAAGGACACCUAGGCAAGUGCGUGUAUGCCUGAGGGCAGGACCAACACAUUUCCCAGGAAACCACACAGCACAGACUGGUUUAGAAUGUGAGCUGUUUGGCGCUGGAUCAUGCCUGUAAUCCCAGCACUUUGGGAGGCCAAGGCUGGUGGAUUACUUGAGGUCAGGAGUUUGAGACCAGCCUGACCAAUAUGAUGAAACCCUCUCUCUACUAAAAAUACAAAAAUUAGCUGGACGUGGUGGUGCAUGCCUGUAAUCCCAGCUACUCGGGAGGCUGAGGCAAGAGAAUCACUUGAACCCAGGAGGCGGAGGUUGCAGUGAGCCAAGAUUGUGCCAUUGCAUCCCAGCCUGGGCAACAGAGUGAGACUCUGUCUCAAAAGAAGAAAGAGUGUGGGCUAUGAGGUCACGAAAUUUGGAUUAAAAUCCCGGUUUUAUCACUUUCUAGGUAUUUGACCUUGGGUAAGUUUCCUCAGAUAUAAAAGGAGGAUAGUAGCAGUAGCUCACUUAUGGGGUUGCUGAAAAAAAU